rnacentral:rRNA from 1 species
UGGAGCUUUAAACCCGACAGCACCCACUUAUUUAACACCUUCUUAUCCGCCUGGCCCCUGUCUGCUCGGUUUUGGGUUGGGGUGACCGCGGAGCAUAAAAUAGCCUCCACGAAAGAAGGGAUGAUUCCCUCAUUUUAGAACUACACUUCCAAAGACUAACAAAUUAAUUUUAAGUGAUCCGAUACCCGUAUUCGAUCAACGAACCAAGUUACCCUGGGGAUAACAGCGCAAUCUACCUCAAGAGCCCCUAUCGACAGGUGGGUUUACGACCUCGAUGUUGGAUCAGGGUAUCCCAGUGGUGCAGCAGCUACCAAAGGUUCGUUUGUUCAACGAUUAAAACCCU